GCCGAGCUAGCUCAAUUGGUCAGAGCGUCAGACUUUUAAUCUGAAAGUUGCGGGUUCGAGUCCCGCGUUUGGCU
rnacentral:tRNA from 1 species